GGUUAAGCGACUAAGCGUACACGGUGGAUGCCCUGGCAGUCAGAGGCGAUGAAGGACGUGCUAAUCUGCGAUAAGCGUCGGUAAGGUGAUAUGAACCGUUAUAACCGGCGAUUUCCGAAUGGGGAAACCCAGUGUGAUUCGUCACACUAUCAUUAACUGAAUCCAUAGGUUAAUGAGGCGAACCGGGGGAACUGAAACAUCUAAGUACCCCGAGGAAAAGAAAUCAACCGAGAUUCCCCCAGUAGCGGCGAGCGAACGGGGAGCAGCCCAGAGCCUGAAUCAGUGUGUGUGUUAGUGGAAGCGUCUGGAAAGGCGUGCGAUACAGGGUGACAGCCCCGUACACAAAAAUGCACAUACUGUGAGCUCGAUGAGUAGGGCGGGACACGUGGUAUCCUGUCUGAAUAUGGGGGGACCAUCCUCCAAGGCUAAAUACUCCUGACUGACCGAUAGUGAACCAGUACCGUGAGGGAAAGGCGAAAAGAACCCCGGCGAGGGGAGUGAAAAAGAACCUGAAACCGUGUACGUACAAGCAGUGGGAGCACGCUUAGGCGUGUGACUGCGUACCUUUUGUAUAAUGGGUCAGCGACUUAUAUUCUGUAGCAAGGUUAACCGAAUAGGGGAGCCGAAGGGAAACCGAGUCUUAACUGGGCGUUAAGUUGCAGGGUAUAGACCCGAAACCCGGUGAUCUAGCCAUGGGCAGGUUGAAGGUUGGGUAACACUAACUGGAGGACCGAACCGACUAAUGUUGAAAAAUUAGCGGAUGACUUGUGGCUGGGGGUGAAAGGCCAAUCAAACCGGGAGAUAGCUGGUUCUCCCCGAAAGCUAUUUAGGUAGCGCCUCGUGAAUUCAUCUCCGGGGGUAGAGCACUGUUUCGGCAAGGGGGUCAUCCCGACUUACCAACCCGAUGCAAACUGCGAAUACCGGAGAAUGUUAUCACGGGAGACACACGGCGGGUGCUAACGUCCGUCGUGAAGAGGGAAACAACCCAGACCGCCAGCUAAGGUCCCAAAGUCAUGGUUAAGUGGGAAACGAUGUGGGAAGGCCCAGACAGCCAGGAUGUUGGCUUAGAAGCAGCCAUCAUUUAAAGAAAGCGUAAUAGCUCACUGGUCGAGUCGGCCUGCGCGGAAGAUGUAACGGGGCUAAACCAUGCACCGAAGCUGCGGCAGCGACGCUUAUGCGUUGUUGGGUAGGGGAGCGUUCUGUAAGCCUGUGAAGGUGUGCUGUGAGGUAUGCUGGAGGUAUCAGAAGUGCGAAUGCUGACAUAAGUAACGAUAAAGCGGGUGAAAAGCCCGCUCGCCGGAAGACCAAGGGUUCCUGUCCAACGUUAAUCGGGGCAGGGUGAGUCGACCCCUAAGGCGAGGCCGAAAGGCGUAGUCGAUGGGAAACAGGUUAAUAUUCCUGUACUUGGUGUUACUGCGAAGGGGGGACGGAGAAGGCUAUGUUGGCCGGGCGACGGUUGUCCCGGUUUAAGCGUGUAGGCUGGUUUUCCAGGCAAAUCCGGAAAAUCAAGGCCGAGGCGUGAUGACGAGGCACUACGGUGCUGAAGCAACAAAUGCCCUGCUUCCAGGAAAAGCCUCUAAGCAUCAGGUAACAUCAAAUCGUACCCCAAACCGACACAGGUGGUCAGGUAGAGAAUACCAAGGCGCUUGAGAGAACUCGGGUGAAGGAACUAGGCAAAAUGGUGCCGUAACUUCGGGAGAAGGCACGCUGAUACGUAGGUGAAGCGACUUGCUCGUGGAGCUGAAAUCAGUCGAAGAUACCAGCUGGCUGCAACUGUUUAUUAAAAACACAGCACUGUGCAAACACGAAAGUGGACGUAUACGGUGUGACGCCUGCCCGGUGCCGGAAGGUUAAUUGAUGGGGUUAGCGCAAGCGAAGCUCUUGAUCGAAGCCCCGGUAAACGGCGGCCGUAACUAUAACGGUCCUAAGGUAGCGAAAUUCCUUGUCGGGUAAGUUCCGACCUGCACGAAUGGCGUAAUGAUGGCCAGGCUGUCUCCACCCGAGACUCAGUGAAAUUGAACUCGCUGUGAAGAUGCAGUGUACCCGCGGCAAGACGGAAAGACCCCGUGAACCUUUACUAUAGCUUGACACUGAACAUUGAGCCUUGAUGUGUAGGAUAGGUGGGAGGCUUUGAAGUGUGGACGCCAGUCUGCAUGGAGCCGACCUUGAAAUACCACCCUUUAAUGUUUGAUGUUCUAACGUGGACCCGUGAUCCGGGUUGCGGACAGUGUCUGGUGGGUAGUUUGACUGGGGCGGUCUCCUCCUAAAGAGUAACGGAGGAGCACGAAGGUUGGCUAAUCCUGGUCGGACAUCAGGAGGUUAGUGCAAUGGCAUAAGCCAGCUUGACUGCGAGCGUGACGGCGCGAGCAGGUGCGAAAGCAGGUCAUAGUGAUCCGGUGGUUCUGAAUGGAAGGGCCAUCGCUCAACGGAUAAAAGGUACUCCGGGGAUAACAGGCUGAUACCGCCCAAGAGUUCAUAUCGACGGCGGUGUUUGGCACCUCGAUGUCGGCUCAUCACAUCCUGGGGCUGAAGUAGGUCCCAAGGGUAUGGCUGUUCGCCAUUUAAAGUGGUACGCGAGCUGGGUUUAGAACGUCGUGAGACAGUUCGGUCCCUAUCUGCCGUGGGCGCUGGAGAACUGAGGGGGGCUGCUCCUAGUACGAGAGGACCGGAGUGGACGCAUCACUGGUGUUCGGGUUGUCAUGCCAAUGGCACUGCCCGGUAGCUAAAUGCGGAAGAGAUAAGUGCUGAAAGCAUCUAAGCACGAAACUUGCCCCGAGAUGAGUUCUCCCUGACCCUUUAAGGGUCCUGAAGGAACGUUGAAGACGACGACGUUGAUAGGCCGGGUGUGUAAGCGCAGCGAUGCGUUGAGCUAACCGGU
rnacentral:rRNA from 1 species